UGUAGCGUAUGUACGACUUUCUAUCAGAACGUUGUAAUAGGUUUGAACUCGCAGUGGGCGUUACUUAGAUUACUCCUGUGCAGAAAAAAGCGGCCAAGUGCGAGUCGGACUCGCCCAUGAAGGGUUCCAUAGCAGCAAGCUACAAUAAAAUUGCGGUUUACGAUUUAUGACGUAUUAAAAAAAACUACUUACUAGAUCUCGUUCAAACCAAUUUUCGGUGGAAGUUUGCAUAGUAAUGUAUAUCAUAUAUUUUUUUUUAGUUUUAUCAUUCUCUUAUUUUAGAAAUUACAGGGAAGGACACACAUUUUACCACUUUGGAAGUGUCUCUCGCGCAAACUAUUCAGUUUAGAAAAAAAUAUAUAUUAGAAACCUCAAUAUCAUUUUUGAAGACCUAUCCAUAGAUACCCCACACCAGCAAGUAACAUAAUAAAAUUACAGUUUACGAUUUAUGACGUAUUAAAAAAAACUACUCACUAGAUCUCGUUCAAACCAAUUUUCGGUGGAAGUUUGCAUGGUAAUGAUGGUCAUAUAUUUUUUUUAGUCUUAUCAUUCUCUUAUUUUAGAAGUUACAGAGGGGGGGACACACAUUUUACCACUUUGGAAGUGUAUCUCGCGCAAACUAUUCAGUUUAGAAAAAAAUGAUAUUAGAAACCUCAAUAUCAUUUUUGAAGCACACAUAUGGGUUUGAUGAAAAAAAAAUUUUGAGUUUCAGUUCUAAGUAUGGGGAGCCCCCAAAAUUUAUUGUUUUAUUAUUUUUUUUGUGUCAAAAUCUUAAGGCGGUUCACAGAAUACAU